AUGUAAAAGGGCAAUAUUUACUGGCAUAUAUUCCAGUUUGCCAGGUUGGCGUCGAUGAAUGAGAAACCCUGGGCAAGGUGACUGACAGAGAAAUUGAUCGGGAAGAACUCUGAAAAGACAAGGUUACGAAAAGACAGAAAUCCUUUCAUUCAUUUAUUCAAAAUGAACAAUUUAUUGUUAUAAAAAUGCCCACAGAUAAAGCAUUAAAACAAUGUUGACCAUUU